AUGUUCGAACUACUAAUUUUGAAAAUUACUCUCUCCAGAAAUAAGUCUCUCACUGUUGCCGCCUGCUACCGACCUCCCUCAGCUCCCAGCUGUGCCCUGGACACCAUUUGUGAAUUGAUCGCCCCCCAUCUAGCUUCAGAGUUUGUUCUGUUAGGUGACCUAAACUGGGAUAUGCUUAACACCCCGGCAGUCCUACAAUCUAAGCUAGAUGCCCUCAAUCUCACACAAAUCAUCAAGGAACCCACCAGGUACAACACUAACUCUGUAAACAAGGGCACCCUCAUAGACGUCAUCCUGACCAACUGGCCCUCCAAAUACACCUCCGCUGUCUUCAACCAGGAUCUCAGCGAUCACUGCCUCAUUGCCUGUAUCCGCUACGGGGCCUCGGUCAAACGACCACCCCUCAUCACUGUCAAACGCUCCCUAAAACACUUCUGUGAGCAGGCCUUUCUAAUCGACCUGGCCCGGGUAUCCUGGAAGGACAUUGACCUCAUCCCGUCAGUUGAGGAUGCCUGGUCAUUCUUUAAAAGUAACUUCCUCACCAUUUUAGAUAAGCAUGCUCCGUUCAAAAAAUGCAGAACUAAGAACAGAUACAGCCCUUGGUUCACCCCAGACCUGACUGCCCUCGACCAGCACAAAAACAUCCUGUGGCGGACUGCAAUAGCAUCGAAUAGUCCCCGUGAUAUGCAACUGUUCAGGGAAGUCCGGAACCAAUACACGCAGUCAGUCAGGAAAGCUAAGGCCAGCUUCUUCAGGCAGAAGUUUGCAUCCUGUAGCUCCAACUCCAAAAAGUUCUGGGACACUGUGAAGUCAAUGGAGAACAAGAGCACCUCCUCCCNNNNNNNNNNACCCCUAUUACCAGCCUGUUCAACCUCUCUUUCAUAUCGUCUGAGAUCCCCAAGGAUUGGAAAGCUGCCGCAGUCAUCCCCCUCUUCAAAGGGGGAGACACCCUGGACCCAAACUGUUACAGACCUAUAUCCAUCCUGCCCUGCCUAUCUAAGGUCUUCGAAAGCCAAGUCAACAAACAGGUCACUGACCAUCUCGAAUCCCACUGUACCUUCUCCGCUGUGCAAUCUGGUUUCCGAGCCGGUCACGGGUGCACCUCAGCCACACUCAAGGUACUAA
rnacentral:lncRNA from 13 species